GGAUUGAAAUCAACUGACUCGUGUCUUUCCAGUCCCUCAACGACUUGCUCUAAAUGCUCAAUCAGUUGGGUAACCGUGCUAAAAUGUGCUCGGAACACGUGCUGGCUAGGAGGAAGGACUUCAUUGACUUCAAGCAACUCUACAAGUUUCAACUUCUCAAACACCCUUGCAAUAUUUGAAGUGAGAGAAAUCGGCCUAUAGUUACUGGGAAGCGACUUACCCUUUAGAAAUUGGAAAAACGUGAGCUAAUUUCAGUGAAGAGUGAAACUUGCCCUGAUCCAAGAUGCAACGUAUCAACUACGAGAAAAUAGGAGCAAGAACCAAGUUCGCAUGGGAGAAAAAAGCUUUCGGAUUCGACCUGACCUCCUGAACCACCUUAAUCUCAGUUUGUAACUGGUCAUUUUCGAUGGAGGCGGACCAGCAAUUCCGGCGACUUCAAGACUUAAAUCCCCCCAAAAUGAUUGCAAAUCAGUUAAAAUUUCAAGGGACGGGAAGUUUGGAUACUGCACCUUAAAUUCGACUAAUCUACGACGUGAGAAAAUCCUUCUUGCAAUGCAAGUUAAACACGUUUAUUAUUGAGAAAUAACGAACACCGGAAGAGAGAAAAUGUUCUCUUUACCACUUAUGUACUUGGCUUUCCACAUUGUCACUUGAAGCUUUCCCUCGAGGCUUUUCGAAUCGCAAAUUUAUUUUAAUGGAUUGUUAAUCAAAGCUUUUGAAUGGAAUUUUUAAUAUUCAGGGCUCGAGACUCUUCAAGAACAUUUAUGAUCAAACCUAAUAGCAAUCGCGUGCCAAAAUAGUUUUGUUAUCUACCAUAUGGUUAGAUUUUUGGAUGAUGUAUUUGGUUUGGGUGGAAGUGGUGGUUGCGUUGAUUAUAUCACCUACUGUAUGAACGGUUGAACUACUAGCAAUCUCAUCUUUGUCAAUCAAGAUAAGUUUC